ACAGUAAAAAAUUGGGUGUUAAUAUUUCAGAGUAAAGUUAUUUUAACCCAGAUAGAGUAUUUUCAACAUUUUUGAGAGUAAAGUUGCUCUAUCAGUGGAGUUAAAAGUGAGUGUAAAAAUCUGCAGAUACGCAGUGACAAUUUCAACUCUACAGCAGUGAUGAAUACCCGCCACUCUGCUUUGCUGAAGUUUGGCACGUACGUUGGUGGAGGAAGAUUGCGAAGGAGUAGCUAGGCCACAGAUAUUGCUAGAGGCAAAAUGCUGUUGCGUGUUCAGCUCGGGGAAGAGCAGAAAUACGUCAAGCUGUCUGAGCUGACAUUCAAUGCUUUCUUGAAAGAAGUGUGUCUAAAAUUCAACAUACCAGAAAGCAGAAAGCCAGACAUUAAGGUGUAUGACCAGUCUGACACAGAAGUUGACUCAGAUGUUUUUGAAGAAUUAGUAAAGGAGUCACCUGGAACUUUCAGAAUCAUGCUGGGCAAUGGACUUGGUAUUCAUUCAUUCAAUUAGUUUUUUAGUUUAAAGGCCAGAAUGAGAACCUUUAUUGUCUUAAAAAUAACAGUUUAUUGUAAUAUGUUUCUAUGUUUUGCACAAAUUUCAUAAUGAACAGAUACCUCUCAUUCAUCAUCAUGCUCGGGUACAUCUGAUGACACCAUCAUUCUGAAUUUCACUGUGUGUGACGAUGUUGAAGAAGUAGCGGCUGGCGAAGGAAGCCAGCCUAAAAGGCCAUGCCACAUAAACUAUGAGGCAAAAGCACUGAUUGAAAAAAUCCUAACAUCAAAGCCUGGUGGUGAACGCAUUAUGCAAGAGUAUGGAAAAACCAAAUCUCUGACAGAUGCCACCAGAAGACAGAUGAUCAACAUACUUGCUGCUGAGAUGACAGAAACACAUGGGACAUCCCCCCA